GACAGAACUAGCCCGUGGUUUCUCCUUGUGCACACUAACCAAACAGGCACAAAAAAAUAUUGCUCAUAGUUACUCAUAUCAUCGACCCCAAAAAUCUAAAUAAGUCAUUUGUUUUAGCGAAACACUCUACAAUUUUAUGGCAUAACAAUGUGGUCACUGAAUUAAUAAAGUGCAUGGAUGUGAUAUUUAAUUAUGUAGUACUACAUGAUACGACCACAAUUAAUCCAUCUACCGAGAACACAUAUUUAUAUAUAAGUAGAGAAGCAGGGCACCACAGCAUCCCAUUGUUGAAGGCUUGAAGCACAACUCCUCUCUCUUUUUCAGAGUCUUCUUAACCUCCUAUAAUCCAGUAACCUUAGAAGUUUACCCUACCUUAAUUUAUGCAUGUGUGAACAUGUUGUUAGCAGUUCGAACCCACUGAAACACAGUAAGUCCUCUGUGCAGAUAGAGGUAGAGUAAUGGUUGGGAACCUAAUAUUUGGAGACAUGCAGGCAGGACACAGACACACAAAUUGUUAUAGGAUUAGGAGGCAUCAGGAGCAACGUUACAACAUAUGUACUCCAAUGUCCUUUAAGAAAAUAAUCGUCCAAACUAGGGGGCAUGUGUGCUUGCAGCAGACUGGCGGGAGGCUGAUCUAAUCUGGCCUUCCAUCACUCUGUGAGGAGCUCGGUUUUCCUGUGGCAUGCCCUAUCCUUCUAUCCUCUCGAUCGGUAGAAAACACUCAAUCAACUUGAUUCAUUUUGCACUUCAGGUUCCGGUGGGAUUAUUUUUUGCCUCGAUUGCUCAGGGGGUUUAGGAGUUUGUAGGUUGUGUUUAGAUGGGUCAACCACGAAAUUAUGGUAUAAAGGAAGAUUGUAAUAGUCAUCCAAAUUGUUCUCAAUGCCCUCGUAAUAUUUGACGAUUGCCUAAUUUUCUCAAUGCCCUCAUAAUAUUUGAUUUUUUUUCAAUGAUGCCC
rnacentral:lncRNA from 1 species